AUAUAAAUAUUCAAUCAACAGCAAAUCGAACAUUCAGUUAGUCAGCCAGCCUGCCAGCCAGCCAGCUACCGCUAGUUGGGUAAAGUUUAUAGCACAGAGUCAAAAGAGUCGUCCGUCACUCGGGCACUUAGUCGUUUAGCUGGAGUCAACUAUCCAGCUAGCCGCCAGUCGGCGAGUCAAGCAGUCAACCAGUCGGCAAUUCAAUGAUGCCAACGUUGCAAACGUUUCAAAGUCGCGCUCCAUACUGAAAAAGGGUAGAGAAAUUUUUCGCAUUUGUCUCCAGGUUUUUGCCACAGCCAUAGCCAUAGCCAACAAAACUCACUAGAGACCCAGUGACAGCGCCUGUGCCGGUGUCAGGGACGACGUGGACGUGGACGUGAACGAUGACGCUGAGGAUGCCAACGUCGACGUAGACGGCGCUGCCGUGCUGCAGCAUGCAAUAGCGGUGUGGUAAUGGAGGAAGUGGCGGAGCGGCAACGGCGGGUAUAUAGAAAAAUUAUUAUGAGUACGCACAGUGGGCUAACCGGUAAUUGCAUUUAUAGUUUGCAAAAGGGGAAGUGCAUACAUGUGCAUACUUAAGUAUGUACAUAUGUACAUGUGUACAUACUAUGAGGAGAUUGCGAAUAAUUCCGACAUACUAGUAUAUGUGUUGUUAACGCGACACUAACAGGGUUGUGUAAAUACAAAUAGAGUUUUGAAAAGUAGGAAAGUGUUUACAGUCCCUAAUAUUUUAUCAUUAUUCGUUCAAAAUAGUUACGAAAGUUGCACUCGAAAUACAUAAUCAUACGACAGAUGUACCAAUUAGCCUUCAGAAUUCACAAAACCACCGUAUUUUUUAAGAUUUCAAAAUUUUUCAGGCAAAAAAGUCUUUCGUAAGAACAUUCUGGCUACUACUUUCAAAGAUCUUUUCUGGCUUUCGAAAGACUAAUUGAACGAAGAGGUCUUAGCCGCAAUCUGUUUGACGUUUAGCAGUAAGUUUUAUAAAAAUUUAAUGAAAUAAAAAAAUAUAUGUGAUUCUUUUUAAA